UUUACCGUGAGGUAUGCAGUGAAGGAAGCCAACCGGCAAAACCCGGUACUGACGAACAGGAACCUGAUAUGAGGCUAUGAGGACGGAUGAGCAGGCACAUCACUGUGACGUCCAAAAGCUCCUGCAAAGGAGGAGUUCCAAAGUAGUAGAUCAGGCAGCGAUUGGGUGAAGGAAGAUGCU
rnacentral:ncRNA from 1 species